AAGUCGUAACAAGGUUUCCGUAGGUGAACCUGCGGAAGGAUCAUUAACACGUAUCCAACGUUAAACCCCCCCGUGAACCUUCAGUGCACGCUCAAGCACAGUCUACGCAGAAGUCCCUGAAUCAAAACUGUUCGGCAAUGAUUUACCAGGGAUUGCUACCUUUUCUAAGAAAGUGCGAGAGGCAAGUGGCCUGGCAUUCCUCUGCUUGUUGGUGUCUGAAAGUGUCACCAGCUCUGUACGAAUGGCGCAAUCACGAUCGCUAGAGGCCGACACGGCUGCGCUUAAUUGUGCGGCCACCAAACUCGAACAACUGUUAACAAUGGAUAUCUUGGUUCUC
rnacentral:misc_RNA from 1 species